AUCGAAAAUUAAUUAAAUAAUGUAUUGGUUAUCAAAAUAUCUUAUCAAAAUCGAACUUUUAAAUAGCUCGAGAGAAGAAUCGCAUUUAUGAGCUUCACUAAGUUUUCAUAUAUGCAAAGCCGUAAAGCAAUCGUAUUGCUAUGCAAUGACAGGAAGUUUUUACGAAUUUACCUGUGGCACUAUCGGUACAAGCGAUAUAUGGGCGCUAUUGAGCUUUCAUCGAUGGUCUUUUUAUUGGCUUGUGGGCAAUUUGUUAAGAGACAUGAAAAAGUUUUCUUUCCAAUAAUCAGAUAAUACGGCCUCGUAAUAGUGGCUCCAUGGAUAAGAUAUGGACAACUUUGUAUAUUAAAAACUGUGAAAUUAGUAAAAUUAAAUAGUUUAAUAAAAAAUUACCGCUUACCUUCGUUAAUAUAUCAGCUGUUUGUAGUAAUUAUCGUUCAUAUUAAAUUUUGAACCAAUAUCAAUAUAUUUUGACGUACAACACCUGUCUGGUUACGCAGUUAA